UCAUCCUUUUACCUAUUACUUUGAUCUCUUCAUUCUCUUGCUAACAUACCAUUGGUUUCACAGGCUUUUGUGCUUGAUCGGGGACUUGAACCUGACGGUUGUAUCUGACAUUCAAAUAUAUUUGGAAAAGACUAUCAAUCAUGGCUUAGACAGAGGUUCAUAUCAGAGAUAUAAGGAACUUAAUCGAGAAGAACCAGCUGGCAUGGCCUGGGUGGGCCUCAUUCUGGAUGUUAUGUUCUCGAUUCUAGAGGUGCUCUUGUUUCCCGGGAAGGGCUUAUACUUGGACAUUGCCUUGUUUUUUCUAUUCUGGUUGUGCAGACAAAUUACAUUCAGUCUUCUUUUUUCUUUCGUGAUCGCUUUCGUACCAGACACUCUGAGUGCAGCACCUGAUAAAGCAUCUGUCCUGUCCCGGGUGCCUCCAUUCGACAUAAAUUUCAUGAAAUUGUAAAAAAAAAAAAAAAUUGUGGUUUUUCCUUCUCAUUGUUUAUGAAUUUUGUGUUUGGAAAUUGCUGCUCAUCAUUUGAGCUUCAGGUAAUGGCAGCCGGAAAUGAUCCAAAUCUUGAGGGCUUUGUCAUUACCUUAAGGCCGGCUUGGGAUGUACACUUGAUGUUAAUACAAGAUGCUCUUACCGGAAGGGAUUCUAUUUCAAGUGGUUCAUCGAGUGAUUUGGGUUACCUACAGUUGUGCUUGGAAGUGUUUUUUUUUUUUUUCAAGGAACGUCUUCCAGUUUAUAUUAGACAAAGUUCUUAAAACUGCAGCAUUUGAGAAUGAUGAAGAGGAUAUGUGCAAAGCCUAUCUUCAAAAGUUGAUCACCUAUUCACCUGCUUCUUACUCACCCACUUGCCAGAGACAAGGUCAAAGAAUCAAAGAAUUAAAGGAGAGGGCUAUGAGCGUGCUUAGUCCAUACUGCCUGGUUGGGUCACAUGAGCUUUCGCAUGAUAGUAACCAAACCGCACAAGCCUCUGAAAGUGGUCCUCUACCAUUUGUCUCUCUUUUGGAGUUUGUGAGUGGAAUUUAUCGGAAGGAGCCAGAGCAAUUGUCUGGCAAUGACGCCCUGUGGACAUUUGUGAACUUUGCUGGAGAGUACGAUACAAAUUUUCAAACUCUUGUGGCUCUCUUGAAUAUGCUGAGUACCUUGGCUUCUAUUCAAGAAGGUGCUGCAACGGUUUUGGAGUUACUUCAGGGCAAAGUGUUUCGUUAUGUUGGGUGGAGCACCUUGUUUGACAGCUUGUCAAUUUAUAAAGAGAAGUUUUAAACAGUCCCUUGCUGGUGCCAUGUUACUGGAACUCCCAGAGGAUGAUGCUUAUUUGAAUCUCCUUCAAAAGGUUGUGGAAAAUGGAAAUCCCCUGGAACGAAAUAUUUGGAAGGAUAUAGUUUUCCAGACACUUUUUGUGCUUAGCUGUUAGAAAUUUUGAGCAUUAAGCUUUGCCAAUUUUGUAAAGUCAGAAGAAGAACGACUUCAUGGACUUUCCCCGGCAAAAGUAACGAGCUAAUGAGGUAUAUCACGAUGGUGAAAUGUGCCGGGGAAUAGAGAUCAGUUAAUAACUAUGUUGCUUCCACUAGUGGAACAUGCGCUGAAUGUCUUCCUAAGCCAUUUUCAGAAUAGGUAUGUAGGUAUGGAUCUUAUAUAUCUUCUUCCUCCCCUUCCCCUGCCUUAUUUUUUCAAGAGAAGGGUUGCUGGUGGCAGUAUAUGUAGAGCCUUGUAAGAGAUUGUAUCAUAUUUAUGUAGAUAUUCCCAUGUGGACUUCAGUUCCGACCUCUAAUUACUUGUGAUUAGGAAAGGCUGCUGCCUGCUGGUACUAAUGAUUCAUGACUAUUUUGAUUUCAUUUUGUCGUUGAAGUAUUGUUGGUAUUGAUUGGCACCUUUCUUUGGUUAAUCUUACUUUUUCUUUGCAGUUCUUUGGCAUCUGAUCCCCCUGGUUCUUUGAAGACAAUUACAAAUGGUGCCAACUGUGGCCCGAUACAAGACAUAUCUUUGUAAUCUCAUUUAGACUUUAGAAAGACUGAGUUACUUAGUGAGGUCUACUAAGUAUUAUCUUUGUAAUUUAUUUACUAAUGGAUAUUUAGUAUAGUUUUAUUUACUUCUGUUUCAUUUACUAAUGGUAAUUAUUUACUAUGAUAAUUACCUCUGUUCAAGAUUCAAAUGUAAGCUCCUUUAACCAGUGUAGCCCAUCUUUCAGUUCAACUCAUUUGAUUCUUGCUAAACUAGAGCCUACACUUUUGUUUUCUGACUUUCUCAAUAUAUAUAUAUAUAUAUAUAUAUAUAUAUUUGUUUUUCCAUACACACACAUAUUAGUCUGUUUACUCACCU